rnacentral:rRNA from 1 species
CGAGCGGCGGACGGGUGAGUAAUACUUAGGAACAUGCCUUUGGGUGGGGGAUAACUAUUGGAAACGAUAGCUAAUACCGCAUAAUGUCUACGGACCAAAGCGGGGGACCUUCGGGCCUCGCGCCAAAAGAUUAGCCCAAGUGAGAUUAGCUAGUAGGUGAGGUAAUGGCUCACCUAGGCGACUAUCUCUAGCUGUUCUGAGAGGAAGAUCAGCCACACUGGAACUGAGACACGGUCCAGACUCCUACGGGAGGCAGCAGUGGGGAAUAUUGCACAAUGGGGGAAACCCUGAUGCAGCCAUGCCGCGUGUGUGAAGAAGGCCUUCGGGUUGUAAAGCACUUUCAGUUGUGAGGAAAGCAUAAUGGUUAAUACCCAUUAUCUGUGACGUUAGCAACAGAAGAAGGACCGGCUAACUCCGUGCCAGCAGCCGCGGUAAUACGGAGGGUCCGAGCGUUAAUCGGAAUUACUGGGCGUAAAGCGCACGCAGGCGGUUUGUUAAGUUAGAUGUGAAAGCCCCGGGCUUAACCUGGGAAUAGCAUUUAAAACUGGAAAGCUAGAGUAUUGUAGAGGGUGGUGGAAUUUCCAGUGUAGCGGUGAAAUGCGUAGAGAUUGGAAGGAACACCAGUGGCGAAGGCGACUUACUGGACCAAUACUGACACUGAGGUGCGAAAGCGUGGGGAGCAAACGGGAUUAGAUACCCCGGGAGUCCACGCCGUAAACGAUGUCUACUAGCCGUUGGGAGACAUGAUCUCUUAGUGGCGCAGCUAAACGCAAUAAGUAGACCGCCUGGGGAUUACGGCCGCAAGGUUAAAACUCAAAUGAAUUGACGGGGGCCCGCACAAACGGUGGAGCAUGUGGUUUAAUUCGAUGCAACGCGAAGAACCUUACCUGGUCUUGACAUCCUACGAACUUUCCAGAGAUGGAUUGGUGCCUUCGGGAACUCUGGGACAGGUGCUGCAUGGCUGUCGUCAGCUCGUGUCGCGAGAUGUUGGGUUAAGUCCCGUAACGAGCGCAACCCAUAUCCUUAUUUGCCAGCACGUAAUGGUGGGAACUCUAAGGAGACUGCCGGUGACAAACCGGAGGAAGGUGGGGACGACGUCAAGUCAUCAUGGCCCUUACGACCUGGGCUACACACGUGCUACAAUGGCCGGUAUAGAGGGCUGCAAUACCGCGAGGUGGAGCGAAUCUCAGAAAACCGGUCGUAGUCCGGAUUGGAGUCUGCAACUCGACUCCAUGAAGUCGGAAUCGCUAGUAAUCGCGAAUCAGAAUGUCGCGGUGAAUACGUUCCCGGGCCUUGUACACACCGCCCGUCACACCAUGGGAGUGGAUUGCACCAGAAGUAGGUAGCUUAACCUUCGGGAGAGCGCUUACCACGGUGUGGUUCAUGACUGGGGUGAAG